GUCAGGUAUCAGCUCUAGCAUCUGUGGAUCAGUUCAUCAUCAGUGAUAGGAAAAUAACCAAACACAGCAAUAGGAUGGAGAAUAACUGGGUGGGUUAGCAAUGAAAGACGUUAUUUUUAUUUUAUUUUAGGUAAGGUGGUCAGGAAAUGUCCCUCUGAGAAAGUAGCUUAAGUAGAGUACUGAAUAUAGAUAAGGUAUCAAUCUUGCUAAGAUCUAGGGGAACAGUGUGCCAAAAGAAGGGAACUUCUGGAUGUGAAGCCCCCAAGGUCAGAAGUGGGCUUGACAUAAAUAAGGCACAGUAAGAAGGCCAAUGUGGCUGAGGCAGGGUGAGCACAGGAGAGAGGGACAAGGGCCAGGUCUCUAGGCAAGAAGUGUGGACCUAGUGUGUUAUGCAAAACCAUUGGAGGUUCUUAAACACGGAAGAGAUAAUCUCUUGUAUUCUUUAUCAUCUUGCUGUUGUGUGAAGAAUGAAGCCUGGGGACAGGAAGAAAGGAUGACAAAAGUGGAAGCAGAGAAACCAGUUAGGAGACUGUGGCAAUGGACUAUGCAGGAAAUAAUAGUAUCCUGGACCAGGGUAGUAAGUGGUGGGGGAUAUAUUCUGGGCAUAGAAACAACAGAACUGGCUGACGGAGUAAAUGUAGCAGAUGAGAGAAAGAGAGAAAUCAAAGGGGACUCAGGUUUAAGAGCUGAGUAGCUGGCUAAAUUGGGGUAUUUAAAGAAAUAGGGCAGCCUCGGGAAGCAGCACAUAUCAUGUUCUUUUGGGGAGAAAGGGCUGGACCAAAAGUUCUGUUUUAACCAAGCUAUAUUUGAGAUACCUAUUAGCCACCAGAAUAUAAAAUCCAAAUCUCCCUUUAGAUUCAGAUUCAGGAGUAUCUGGCAUGUAGAAAGUGUAUGAUGCCAUGGGUCACCUGAUACUACCUAACAAGAGUGAGUUGCUGGAAAAGAAAGGAUGGCUGAAGACUGAGCCCUGGGAAUGACAACAUAGAGAGGUCGAAAGGAAGAAACAGACCGUCAAAGGAGACUGAGGAGGAGUAACCAGUGAGAAUCACUUGGGUUACCCUGGACCAGACUGGCCCCACCAUUCCCCAGGCCAUGGAAGCUUUGCAGCCCCUCCUCCAACCCUGACCCACCCUCAGUGCUUAAGCUCCUGGAGUUAAAAGACACUUGGACAGUAAGACUGGGCUGGGUGGAUUAAAAAGAAAUGCAGGAAGCAGGAUCUACCAGGGCAAGCUCUACCUGUCCAGACUCUCUAACCUCACCCAAGGUCUGUGGGGACAGGGAGGGGACCGCUGUCUCCACCUCCUCCUCUGCUCCCCAAACUGUGAGUCACGCUGAAUGCAAUAAACCUUGAAUAGAAGAGUA